UACGUAGGGGGCUAGCGUUGUUCGGAAUUACUGGGCGUAAAGCGCACGUAGGCGGCUUUGCAAGUUAGAGGUGAAAGCCCGGGGCUCAACUCCGGAAUUGCCUUUAAAACUGCAUCGCUAGAAUUGUGGAGAGGUGAGUGGAAUUCCGAGUGUAGAGGUGAAAUUCGUAGAUAUUCGGAAGAACACCAGUGGCGAAGGCGGCUUACUGGACACAUAUUGACGCUGAGACGCGAAAGCGUGGGGAGCAAACAGG
rnacentral:rRNA from 1 species